GGGGAUGUAACGGCUUCGACAUGAUUACUAUCUUCCUAAAUGCAGUAGGGUUUGCCCUUUAUAGCUCGAGGAUUAUUGCAUGACAAUAACCAAAACGAUACUGUACAAUUAGAUAACUUCGAAAUUGCACAACUAUCAAGACAAUCUCAACUUAACUACGCGUUUGUAGCUUAAGCAAUUGUCUAUAAGCGUUAAAAGUUUUCUUACUUUACUUUAACGCGUUAAAUAAAGUGAUAUAUUGUGUCAAUGCUAAUAGAUGCAAUGAAACCAAUUAGCUAUAUUAGAUGGGGUUGUCAUAUUACCAUUCUAUCUAACGAAUUGUUAAAAAUAUGACUAAACUGUAGUAUUUAGCAAGAGAAUAAUUUUGGAAAGGAGUUCGACUCUCCUCAUCUCCACCA
rnacentral:tmRNA from 1 species